rnacentral:rRNA from 1 species
UGCGAAAGCGUGUGGAGUGAACCGGAUGAGAUACCCCGGUAGUCCACGUUGUACACGAUGGAUACUAGGUGUGGGAGGUCAUUUAACCAUUCUGUGCCGUAGUUCACGCUUUUAGUAUCUCGCCUAGGGACUAAGGCCGCAAGGUUAUAACUGAAAGGAAUCGAGGGGGGCCCGCACAAGCAGCGGAGCGUGUGGUUUAAUUCGAUGAUACGAGAAGAACCUUACCUGGGCUUGACAUGGUGGUAGUAGUGAAGUGAAAGCGGAACGACCCUUGGGGGAGCCAUCACAGGUGCUGCAUGGCUGUCGUCAGCUCGUGUCGUGAGAUGUUGGGUUAAGUCCCUCAUCGAGCGCAACCCUCGUCGCUAUUUAUAUGUGUUUAGUGAGACUGCCGGUAUCAAACCGGAGGAAGGUGGGGAUGACGUCAAGUCAGCAUGGUCUUUAUGUCCAGGGCUACACACACGCUACAAUGGCCGGUACAAUGGGUUACCAUACCACGAGGUGGAGUUAAUCCUCAAAGCCGGUCUCAGUUCGGAUUGCAGUAUGCAACUUGACUGCAUGAAGGUGGAGUUGCUAGUAACCGCGCGUCAGCAAUAGUGCGGUGAAUGCGUUCCCGGGCCUUGUACACCCCGCCCGUCACAUCAUGGGAGUCGGCAACACCUGAAGUCGGUGACCAAACCGAAAGGUAGGAACUGCCUAAG